GUAGUCUCGCACAGAUGCAUAUCAAUAAGCGGAGGAAAAGAAACUAACAAGGAUUCCCUCAGUAACGGCGAGUGAAGCGGGAAGAGCUCAAAUUUGAAAUCUUGAAAGGUCACCUUUCACGAAUUGUAGUUUAAAGAAGUGUUUUCUGUUACGAUCGUAAUAUAAGUUCUUUGGAAUAGGACAUCACAGAGGGUGAGAAUCCCGUCUAUGAUUGCGAUUUGUAGCUUUGUGAUACACUUUCAAAGAGUCGGGUUGUUUGGGAAUGCAGCCCAAAACGGGAGGUAAAUUUCUUCUAAGGCUAAAUAUUGGCGAGAGACCGAUAGCGAACAAGUACCGUGAGGGAAAGAUGAAAAGAACUUUGAAAAGAGAGUUAAAUAGUACGUGAAAUUGUCAAAAGGGAAGCGUUUAACACCAGUGUUGUUUUCUGAAAAUCAACCUCUGUUAGCUUUAUGCAUGUUUGUUUAGACCUAAUCAGCUAUUUUGCAUGUUCUAUUGUUUGCAGUGGUGCACUUUUCAGUUUACAGGUCAACAUCAGUUUUUUUUUACCGUAAAAAAGUUAAAGAAAGGUAGCUCAUGGCUCCGGUCGUGAGUGUUAUAGUCUUUUUCCUAUGCGGUAGGAGAGACUGAGGUCUGCAGUGUAGGCUAUUUGGCUAGAUACUCAGGUGCUAUGUGAUACCAUUUCAUAAACAACUUGUUGAUUAUGUUUUGUCUAUUGCAUACUCGCUUGUACUAUCAUACCUACGCUUAGGAUGUUGAGUCGUAGAGCACGCAG
rnacentral:rRNA from 1 species